rnacentral:SRP_RNA from 3 species
UGAUUCCCGAGCAUGCUUGCAUGCGUACCUGGUCAGGCCCGGAAGGGAGCAGCCAUAGCGGGAACAUCGAGUGCCGGGGUGUGGCU